rnacentral:snRNA from 1 species
AUUGCUUCUUGGCCUUUUGGCUAAGAUCGAGUGUAGUAUCUGUUCUUACAGUUUAAUAUCUGAUACGUCCUCUAUCCGAGGACAAUAUAUUAAGCGGAUUUUUGGAACAGGGAGAUGGAAUAGGAGCUUGCUCCGUCCACUCCACGCAUCGACUUGGUAUUGCAGUACCUCCAGGAACCGUGCACCAAAA